GCAUGUCUAGGGGGACGGUUUCGGUCUCCAUAAAGGAGCGUGUCGCGAGACCCAACGCUGGAAUCCUAUGCCUGAAUCGCCAUUGACCAUGCCACUAUUUUCAUUUUCAAUGUUUGGAAGACUCUGAUGACUCUUUAUGCAGUUGUCCACGAUGUCCUCAUUGGCCAUUCAGAAGCACGGAAAGAGUGUUAUGUCGAGCAGCACAACAUGGAACGCUGUUACAACUUUUGGUGGUUUGGUUUCCAUGCAUGAGAUUCUGAGUAUCCAGCAGUUGUGUAUGGAUGCAACAUUUGUACUGGAUUCCUGGACAAAUGAGUUUCUAUGUCCUUUGCUCUUCUUACUUUGUGAAAUCGGACGCUCCAGGUGUGUGAAGACGUCAGACGUGUGGCAUGCAUCUCCUCUUUGGGAGCGUCUCAUGGCACAUAUCUUCUGUACAUUUCUGAGGGUAUUAAAUCAACGAUUAAAAAGAUGAUGUCAUGCCUGCAGGCUAGAGCCAGUCAGAAGCACAGCUUUGUCAGUUUGUGUGUGUGUGUGUGUCUAUGCAUGUGUGCGUGUGGUGUUUUCUGAUUGGUUGGACACUGGGAAUGUGGUGUGUGACAGUCUCGUGGGGUGUUAGUGGCUGUCAUGUGUGAUUUUUCGAACGCUCACAAACACAAAACAACAACAAGUUAACAUUCCUCCUCAAGUCACAGGUCAGUGAACGUGAACUAUUAGAACAAAACAAUAGCGUGAACUAUUAGAACAAAACAUUAGCAUGAACCAUUAGAUCAAAACAGAUGACUUGGUUACAAUAUCUAUACUCCCAUUCCCAAAUAAAUGGUUUGUUACAAAGCUCCUGCUAUAGGAUAGCAGAGACAAAAACACCGAAACCAUCUGACACACCGAGUGUCACGACAAGGACAUGCUGCGCUGAGCUCACGACACUGG